GGCAUAUCUGCAUCUAGAAUUCCAGCACAGACAGCCGUGGCUGGAUCACGGUUACGUGACAGUCACACUAGCGCCCAACGUUGUUCAGGUAGAUGGGGAGAACUCUGCUGGGCAGACAGCGCUCUUCCUGUCUGCGCUACUGGGCCACACUUCUGCUGUGCGCCUCCUACUGGCCUUUGGCGCCAACCCCAACCAGUGACCGCUGCCUGGAUGGCAGCACACCCAUGCAUGCAGGUGCCUCCUCUGGCCGAGGCUUGGUGUUGUGGCACCUGCUGCAGGCAGGAGGUGACCUGCGUCUGCGUGACCAGCAGGGUCGCACGCCAGGAGAUUGGGCUGAGCAGGGUGACGCCAAGCAGAGCUGGGAGGUGCUGGAACUGUUACAAUGGUGCCGGACCCACAUGUCAGCACUGGUCCAGAGUGGGGAGUUGGCCCCCAGUGUGUCCUUGAGUCAGUUGCAAGCUAGCUCUGGACACAGCCUGUGUGGCUCCCUUCCUUCACUAAGGCUGGUCCAGGCAGACAGGGCACUGAGGCAAGGGCAGAUCAGAAGGUCCCCCAAAACCCCAGCGUUGGGGUUUGGCCAGUUGAGCAGCCUCCAGCCACCGGCACUGGUAAUGGGCAUCCCAGUAGUAGACCCCAAGGAGCUGGUACCAACCCAGGGUGAGCCUGACCGCACCUACAACAGCAGUUCUCAUACUAUCAUGACCAACCUCCUGUGGAAGGGCCACCCGGUUACUGUACGGCAGCUGAAGAGUUCUGAAUCCAGCCCUGAUGUGCUAUUGGCUGACCUUCAGCACUGCAGGUUACCAGUCCCAGCUGACCUGACUCCAUCAGCCCAGAACCAACAUCCUGCACCACCCUGGCCUGCUGUUGCUGAUGGCACUGAGCCCCUCAGAGGACCUGUCCAGACUGAGUCUGCUCUUCGAGCCAGUGUGGCUGGGCUCCCUUUACCUCCUGCUGCACUCUGUGAGAGAGGAUGAGGAAGGUCCCCCAGCCCUGCCAGGCCUGCUGCCCGGCCCUCUGCUGCUCCAGGUGUUGGAGGCCCUGUUGUUCCUGCAGUCCCGCUGCUGGGCCCAUGCUGGCCUGACUUCCCAUGCUGUGCAGCUUGUGCGGCCAGGCUUGGCUAAGGUGAGCCACCUAGAACACGGGCGUCCACUGCACCAGCCCAGGCUGCAGCCCAGACUGAAACAAGACUGCUCCCAGAGAGACCCAAAUCCAGGGCUGCCCCCACCCCCUGAACUGUACCCAUGGCUACCACUUGAGCUGAUCCAUGGCGACGUGCCAGCCACUACCUCAGACCUCUACAGCUUCUGCAUCCUGGCCCAGGAGGUCUUCACGGGAGAGCUGCCCUGGGCUGGAGGAGAGGGGCCUGAGGUGAAAGCUAAGCUGGAGGCAGGCCAGAGUCCAGGCCUGGACCCCUUGCUGCCAGCCCCCUACCAGGCCUUGGUCCAAGCUGGGCUGGGUCUAGAGCCUGCUGACCGCUGGGGCAGCUUGCAGAGCACUCGGUACCUGCUGCGCAAGGCCAUGGCCAAGGACUUGGCACCCAAGGCCAGCUCCCCACUAGAAUGGACAACACUGUCUCCUGUAACCCUGGGUUCCCUGCCAGGUUAGAGAGCCAGGAUCACGGUGGGGGACUGUGGCAGUGUGCAUCCAAUUCCAACCGUCUGGUUUGUAUCCCCAGAGCAUCUGUACUGUGAAGGGGCUCCCAGGACCAGGGCCAGAGCCAGGCUUGUGCUCCCUUCCCCAGACCCUUCCCAGGCUCUGGAGACUCCUGAGGUCACAGGUCACAGCAGGGACCAGCAGAAUGCAGCCUGGGACUCUGGCAGUAGCUUGACUCUAGGCAGUAGCCUCAGUCCCAGUCCCAGUCCCAGCCCCAGUCCCAGCCCCAGCCCACACUGUUGCCCGGAGCCCACCUCAAUAGUACGGAUACCCCCACCCCAGGCUAAACCGGCAACCCUUGCCUCCAGAAGUCUCCCAGCUCCCUCGGCUCUGACCUGUGGUUCCCUGAGCAGCUCUGCUCCCCCCAAGGGCCUCCCCUGCACACCAGCCUUUUGGAACCAGCCUCCCUGCUAGGGAGGAUGUUCUGUCAGAAUCUAAGCUCCACAGGGGCAGCUGUGGCACACAUGGGGCUGGUAUUUGGACCCCCAGCACUGGGAAUCCACCCCUACGUGCUGACCAACAAAGAGGCUUCAAUGCCCAGAGAACUGCUGACAGGGAAGGCCAUAAGUAGAGCACCCAAAAGACCCAGGCUCUGAACCUGCAGGGCAGCUGCUGGCAGUGCCAACCUUUCCUCCUGCAGAAACCUGCUAGUGAGGAUCUCGAGCUGACAGAAGGCAGUCUCUUCUCCAGCCUACAGGAGUGAGAUAACACAGGCUGUGGUGGGCAGCCCGGGUCCCUCCCUCAUCCCUGAACUAAGCCCAAGUCUGUCUCUGCCCUCCACUGUCCAGGAUGGAUCUGUUGGAGGAGAUCAUGGCAGAGCUGCAGAAUAAGUGCCACCUUGAAGCCAAGCCCCGACUGAGUCCCAGUCUUAGCCCAGACUCCUAGGAUGCCCUCCCUGAAGUGUCUCCCUUCAGACACUACCCUGGGCGCCCUCCCAAGACUGACCCAACCCUCAAUGUUUGCUUCAAAGCAAAGAAGAUGGAAAGUUCCCAAAAAAAAAAAAAAAAAAAAA
rnacentral:lncRNA from 1 species